AGAGUUUGAUCCUGGCUCAGGAUGAACACUGGCGGCGUGCCUAAUACAUGCAAGUCGAGCGAACGGACGAGAAGCUUGCUUCUCUGAUGUUAGCGGCGGACGGGUGAGUAACACGUGGAUAACCUACCUAUAAGACUGGGAUAACUUCGGGAAACCGGAGCUAAUACCGGAUAAUAUUUUGAACCGCAUGGUUCAAAAGUGAAAGACGGUCUUGCUGUCACUUAUAGAUGGAUCCGCGCUGCAUUAGCUAGUUGGUAAGGUAACGGCUUACCAAGGCAACGAUGCAUAGCCGACCUGAGAGGGUGAUCGGCCACACUGGAACUGAGACACGGUCCAGACUCCUACGGGAGGCAGCAGUAGGGAAUCUUCCGCAAUGGGCGAAAGCCUGACGGAGCAACGCCGCGUGAGUGAUGAAGGUCUUCGGAUCGUAAAACUCUGUUAUUAGGGAAGAACAUAUGUGUAAGUAACUGUGCACAUCUUGACGGUACCUAAUCAGAAAGCCACGGCUAACUACGUGCCAGCAGCCGCGGUAAUACGUAGGUGGCAAGCGUUAUCCGGAAUUAUUGGGCGUAAAGCGCGCGUAGGCGGUUUUUUAAGUCUGAUGUGAAAGCCCACGGCUCAACCGUGGAGGGUCAUUGGAAACUGGAAAACUUGAGUGCAGAAGAGGAAAGUGGAAUUCCAUGUGUAGCGGUGAAAUGCGCAGAGAUAUGGAGGAACACCAGUGGCGAAGGCGACUUUCUGGUCUGUAACUGACGCUGAUGUGCGAAAGCGUGGGGAUCAAACAGGAUUAGAUACCCUGGUAGUCCACGCCGUAAACGAUGAGUGCUAAGUGUUAGGGGGUUUCCGCCCCUUAGUGCUGCAGCUAACGCAUUAAGCACUCCGCCUGGGGAGUACGACCGCAAGGUUGAAACUCAAAGGAAUUGACGGGGACCCGCACAAGCGGUGGAGCAUGUGGUUUAAUUCGAAGCAACGCGAAGAACCUUACCAAAUCUUGACAUCCUUUGACAACUCUAGAGAUAGAGC
rnacentral:rRNA from 1 species